AGAUAGAGGUUGCAUUUUUCAUGAGUAUGGUGGCGGAUGUGUCAGGAACAGAAGAAAUCAUCAGAAAGGGAAAGAUGCCGAAAGGGAAAAGACUCCUGAAUCCUUUUCCUUGGGCAUGACGUGAAUAACGGCAUGACUGUCAUCGCAGGAUGGAGAGCUAUCUGA
rnacentral:ncRNA from 1 species